rnacentral:rRNA from 1 species
AUUGAACGCUGGCGGCAUGCUUUACACAUGCAAGUCGAACGGCAGCGCGGGGCAACCUGGCGGCGAGUGGCGAACGGGUGAGUAAUACAUCGGAACGUACCCAGAAGUGGGGGAUAACGUAGCGAAAGUUACGCUAAUACCGCAUACGUUCUACGGAAGAAAGUGGGGGAUCUUCGGACCUCAUGCUUUUGGAGCGGCCGAUGUCUGAUUAGCUAGUUGGUGAGGUAAAGGCUCACCAAGGCGACGAUCAGUAGCUGGUCUGAGAGGACGACCAGCCACACUGGGACUGAGAAACGGCCAGACUCCUACGGGAGGCAGCAGUGGGGAAUUUUGGACAAUGGGCGCAAGCCUGAUCCAGCCAUGCCGCGUGUCUGAAGAAGGCCUUCGGGUUGUAAAGGACUUUUGUCAGGGAGGAAAUCCUUAGUGCUAAUACCACUGAGGGAUGACAGUACUUGAAGAAUAAGCACCGGCUAACUACGUGCCAGCAGCCGCCGCGGUAA